rfam:Camelus ferus unplaced genomic scaffold scaffold552, whole genome shotgun sequence.
GAGGGUAUAGCUCAGUGGCAGAGUGCGUGCUUAGCAUGCACAAGGUCUGGGGUCCUAUCCCCAGUACCUCCA